rnacentral:rRNA from 1 species
AUAACGACUCUCGGCAACGGAUAUCUCGGCUCUCGCAUCGAUGAAGAACGCAGCGAAAUGCGAUACCUGGUGUGAAUUGCAGAAUCCCGUGAAUUAUCGAGUCUUUGAACGCAAGUUGCGCCCGAGGCCAUUUGGUCUAGGGCACGCCUGCCUGGGUGUCACA